rnacentral:misc_RNA from 1 species
GAUGAAGAACGUAGCGAAAUGCGAUAAGUAAUGUGAAUCGCAGAAUUCAGUGAAUCAUCGAAUCUUUGAACGCACAUUGCGCCCGCCAGUAUUCUGGCGGGCAUGCCUGUUCGAGCGUCAUUACAACCCUCAGGCCCCCGGGCCUGGCGUUGGGGAUCGGCGGAGCCCCCCGUGGGCACACGCCGUCCCCCAAAUGCAGUGGCGGUCCCGCCGCAGCUUCCAUCGCGUAGUAGCUAACACCUCGCGACUGGAGAGCGGCGCGGCCACGCCGUAAAACACCCAACUCUUCUGAAGUUGACCUCGAAUCAGGUAGGAAUACCCGCUGAACUUAAGCAUAUCAAUAAGCGAGGA